UGCACAGUGUAGGUCAGGAGACAGUCAUUUUCCAUUGGAUUUGGGUCACUUUUGAUCCAUGUUGUGCAUCAAAGGUUGAAUGAAGACGUCAUCUUAUUAUCCAGUACAUCAUGUGUUUGUCCAGCAGGUGGCAUCCUUCAACCAUCUACCACUCUGGAUCAGCUGGCGGGGCCUGUGUGACUUUGACACCAGCCUGUUACUGUAUUAUGUCUAUCGACAGAUUAACAGGUUGGUAUUUGGGUAAAUCGUGUCCUUGGCUGAGGUCUCACACUGCUGGCAAAUAAUUUGCAGGGGCCCUAAUUAUCCGUUGUGCUCCUCCAAUAGUUCACCAAAGCACCAUGAAUGGCUCAUUCAUACAUUAGUAACACGGUUGCAGCAACACAGUGGGCUUAAACCAUACGCAGAAGGUCAUUAGAACAGGAAACACCGCGCCGGUCAUCAGCUGAUUGUGUGGAAAGACACAGGCAUUCAUGUGAAUUGGAUCCUCAGGAGUCGGUGUGUCUUCAACUUGACUGUUACCCCUGCGGCCCUCCACCGCCACCCUUUUUAACAUCCUUUUCCAUGUUUAUUUAAGCAACAAGUGAAGACAAGUGUGUCAGGAAAUGGUUGUAAGUGGCUGUUGAUUAAUUUUGCAUUCACUGCACGACAACCUGACACUGUUUGCACUAAAUCGCCUUCAUAUGUGGCAGCUAAACAGAUGAAAACACAAACUAUGCCAUCAUUCAAGCCUGAAAUACGCAUCAGACGGUCCAGGGUGUUCUAUGAUCUUUAUUAUUUAUUAAUGUGCAAACUGUACAUGCUUAUGAUUUUCACGUUGUUUUUCCUCCUUGUGUUUGCUGUUGUUGUUGACUAGCUGCUGUUUCAUCACCAGACACAACAGUUUUUCCUGAACCUUUUCUUUACUGGCGCCGCUUCAGCAGCUUCCCAGAAGUCAAAGACAAUGGAGAGGCAGGAGGAUGCUCUGAAUAAACUAUGAGAACAAUCCAUUAGCUAUAAUGGGACUAUUAACUUUACUUUGGCAGAUGGAGGGCAAGAGGAUGCGGGUUUUUAUGUUUAUGCAGACGGCAAAAAGAUAUAAAUAAACAAAUGUGAACCAAAUUAGAACAUCACGUGUUGAUGAGGUUGAACAACAACGGCGGUAAGAUUUGGACUAAAAAUAAUGAACCAGCUGCUAAUAGGGUAUUCUGUGUAUUUUACGUUGUGAUUUCAAAAUAAAUUAAUUUUUUAAUAAUUAAUUUUUUUUUAAAAAGGCAUUGUUGUCAGAAACUUUUAAAAUAUUUUGAAUCAGUUUUAUGCUGCUUUAACAGAAGCACAUAUACAUCCAUAUGAAUACAUGCAAUAUUUAUCUGUGGGAGUGUGUACAUUUUUUACACUCGUCUUAUGGAGACACAAAUCUGUGAACACAUUCGGGGACAUUCCGCUUUUAUGGGGACAAGAAGCAAGUUCCUGUAAUGUAAAUGUUAUUUUUAGGGUGAAGACUUGCUUUACAGUUAGAUUAAGGUUUGGAUUAAUAGUAGCUGUGAUUAUAGUUUGAAUAAGUCUCCAAACAAUGUGUGUGAGUGUUUGUAUGCAAGAAGAAAAACACAGAAAAAUGAAAACAUCAUCCACCAACACAGUCCGACUCUCUUGCUAUUUAGAUUAUUUAAGUUAUAUGUAUAUUUACACCCGCAGUCUAUCUUUUAUAUUUAUUUUCCAUAUAAAAGGAUUUCAUUAAAACAGUGGACAUCUGGCAUAUAUUACACAGAUUUUAUACAAAAAGAAUUUCUUACAAAUUCCCCUGAAGUCACUGAAAAUGGAUUCUGAGGAAGAAAACUGAUUCGGAAAAUCCCACCCUGCAAGCAAACAGGAUUUUUUCCUCCUUAGGUUUGCCAUGUAUAAAACCCUGGAUGUCUGAGUCAGUGUUUUUGAGACAAUCAUUGGCACACUGCAGUUUUAAGGUGGAAAUUCUGAGGAGCGGUGCUGACUGCUUAUUUCACCCAUUAUAUGUCUUCUAGCAUUCUACUGGAAAUAGGUGUGUGUGUGUAAUAUAAUGAGAGGGAAAAAACAAGAAAAUAAACAAGAAUCCCCUGACACAGUUCAA